GAUGAACGCUGGCGGCGUGCCUAAUACAUGCAAGUCGAACGGGGAGUAGCAAUACUCUUAGUGGCGAACGGGUGAGUAACGCGUUGGUACCUGCCCCGAAGCGGGGGAUAACGGACCGAAAGGUCCGCUAAUACCCCAUGUGCUCGGUAACGAGUAAAGGUGAAAACCACUUUGGGAGGGGCCUGCGUCCCAUCAGCUAGUUGGUAAGGUAACGGCUUACCAAGGCGAUGACGGGUAGGGGACCUGAGAGGGUGGCCCCCCACAAUGGAACUGAAACACGGUCCAUACACCUAUGGGUGGCAGCAGUAGGGAAUAUUGGUAAUGGGCGCAAGCCUGAACCAGCAACGCCGCGUGUGCGAUGACGGCCUUCGGGUUGUAAAGCACUUUUGACUGGGACGAGGAAGGACGGUACCGGUCGAAUCAGCCUCGGCUAACUACGUG
rnacentral:rRNA from 1 species